rnacentral:rRNA from 1 species
GGACGAACGCUGGCGGCGUGCUUAACACAUGCAAGUCGAACGGAAAGGCCCUGCUUUUGUGGGGUGCUCGAGUGGCGAACGGGUGAGUAACACGUGAGUAACCGGCCCUUGACUUUGGGAUAACUUCAGGAAACUGGGGCUAAUACCGGAUAGGAGCUCCUGCUGCAUGGUGGGGGUUGGAAAGUUUCGGCGGUUGGGGAUGGACUCGCGGCUUAUCAGCUUGUUGGUGGGGUAGUGGCUUACCAAGGCUUUGACGGGUAGCCGGCCUGAGAGGGUGACCGGCCACAUUGGGACUGAGAUACGGCCCAGACUCCUACGGGAGGCAGCAGUGGGGAAUAUUGCACAAUGGGCGGAAGCCUGAUGCAGCAACGCCGCGUGCGGGAUGACGGCCUUCGGGUUGUAAACCGCUUUCGCCUGUGACGAAGCGUGAGUGACGGUAAUGGGUAAAGAAGCACCGGCUAACUACGUG